UAGUUGGUAGGGUAACGGCCUACCAAGGCGGAGACGGGUAGGGGGCGUGAGAGCGCGGUCCCCCACACUGGCACUGCGACACGGGCCAGACUCCUACGGGAGGCAGCAGUAAGGAAUCUUGCGCAAUGGGCGAAAGCCAGACGCAGCGACGCCGCGUGGGCGAAGAAGGCCUUCGGGUUGUAAAGCCCUUUUCCAGGGGAAGAGGAAGGACGGUACCCUGGGAAUAAGUCCCGNGCUAACUUAUGUGCCAGNCAGCCGCGGUAAGACAUAGGGGACGAGCGUUAUCCGGAUUUACUGGGCGUAAAGAGCGUUGAGGCGGUUCCGUAAGUUGGAUGUGAAAGCCCCGGGCUUAACUCGGGGAGGUCGUUCAAUACUGCGGGGCUAGAGGGCAGCAGAGGGAGGUGGAAUUCCCGGUGUAGUGGUGAAAUGCGUAGAUAUCGGGAGGAACACCCGUGGCGAAGGCGGCCUCCUGGGCUGACCCUGACGCUGAAUGCGAAAGCUAGGGGAGCGAACGGGAUUAGAUACCCCGGUAGUCCUAGCUGUAAACGAUGGAUGCUGGGUGUGGGGGGUAUAAAUUCCCUCUGUGCCGAAGCUAACGCGUUAAGCAUCCCGCCUGGGGACUACGGCCGCAAGGCUAAAACUCAAACGAAUUGACGGGGGCCCGCACAAGCAGCGGAGCGUGUGGUUUAAUUCGAUGCUACACGAAGAACCUUACCUGGGCUUGGCAUGCACGUGGUAGGGAACCGAAAGGGGACCGACCUUCGGGAGCGUGCACAGGUGCUGCAUGGCUGUCGUCAGCUCGUGCCGUGAGGUGUCGGGUUAAGUCUCGUAACGAGCGCAACCCUUGCCCUUAGUUAUACGUGUCUAAGGGGACUGCCCGGGAUAACCGGGAGGAAGGUGGGGAUGACGUCAAGUCAGCAUGGCCUUUAUGUCCAGGGCUACACACACGCUACAAUGGCCGGUACAAUGGGUCGCGAAGCCGUGAGGCGGAGCCAAUCCUGAAAGCCGGUCUCAGUUCGGAUUGUAGGCUGCAACUCGCCUACAUGAAGUUGGAGUUGCUAGUAACCGCAGGUCAGCUAUACUGCGGUGAAUACGUUCCCGGGCCUUGUACACACCGCCCGUCACGUCAUGGGAGCUGGCAACACACUGAAGCCAGGUGAGCUAACCCGAAAGGGGGC
rnacentral:rRNA from 1 species